rnacentral:rRNA from 1 species
UCGAGAAUCUUCGGCAAUGGGCGCAAGCCUGACCGAGCGAUGCCGCGUGCGGGAUGACGGCCCUUGGGUUGUAAACCGCUGUCAAGGGGGAUGAAGGGCGUAUGCAGAAUGCGUCUUGACAGAGCCCUAGAGGAAGCCCGGGCUAAGUACGUGCCAGCAGCCGCGGUAACACGUACUGGGCGAACGUUAUUCGGAAUCACUGGGCUUACAGGGUGCGUAGGCGGCCGACCAGGUCGGGUGUGAAAGGCUUCGGCUCAACCGAGGCAUGGCGCUCGAAACCGGCCGGCUUGAGUCAGCUAGGGGUCCGCGGAACUUCCGGUGGAGCGGUGAAAUGUGUUGAUAUCGGAAGGAACGCCGGUGGCGAAAGCGGCGGACUGGGGCUCGACUGACGCUGAGGCACGAAAGCCAGGGGAGCGAACGGGAUUAGAUACCCCCGUAGUCC